GCCGCCUUAGCUCAGUUGGUUAGAGCGCUUGAUUGUGGAUCAAGAGGUCCCCCGUUCGAACCGGGGAGGCGGUACCA
rnacentral:tRNA from 1 species